AUGGUUGAUGACAAUAAUGUAUUAUUUGUUAGAGGAAAUGAAAAUGACAAUGAAUUUAUUUGGGAUGAUGCAGCAUUAAUAAAAGCAUACGACAGAGCUAUAAAUCUAGCUAAGGAAGAAGUUGCUAUGCGAAUUGGUAUCGAUUAUCCAUGUACAACUUCCAAAUCAAAAGUUCCACAACAGAAACAAUCUCGUACUACAUAUAAACAGAAAAAGAAAUGGUGUGUUGGGUCUCCGUGUCGUGCUGUCUAUUCAGAAGAUGGUGAAAUUUACGAAGCUAUUAUAACUAAAAUUUAUGACAAUUACGGAACAUGUAUUGUCAAAUUUAUAGGUUAUGGUAAUAGCGAAAAGGUAGAAUUAAGUAGUCUUUUAGAAUCAGAAGGAUUACAAAGUCAAAUUGCUCAGCAGAAGAAUGCAUUAGCAGAAAAAUGUAAUGAAGAAAGUAUGGAUCAGAGUGAGUCAGGUUGUUCUGAUUGUAAGGCUAAAAGUGUUAAUAGCACCGUUGAUGAAAAGAUGGAAUUUGAUUCUGAACAGAGAGAACCUAAAAUUUAUAUCGAUUCAGGUCCAUCGGUUAAUCCUUUCUUAAAUAUGAUGCCUCCUGCACCUCCUUUACCACCUCAAUUAAUGGCUAAGCUACCAGAAAAUGAUGCAGAUGCUCUUUCCAGUAUGUUGAUGUCAUGGUAUAUCAGUGGAUUUCAUACAGAAAAUUUCUUUGAUAGGAUACUACCACGGUUUGAAACACGCUAAGGACAAUAAUCUGAAAAGAAAGAAUUGACUUUAUAAGAGAAAGAACACACAAAUAAUAAUCCAUCUAAUCUUGCAAGAAGUUCUGCCCUAAAUCGUCUAGCAGGUUCAGAGUUCAUCGAAGAAUAAUCACCGG
rnacentral:misc_RNA from 1 species